UACGGAGGGGGCUAGCGUUGUCCGAAGUUACUGGGCGUAAAGCGCGCGUAGGCGGGUUGGUAAGUCCGCUGUGAAAGCCCGGAGCUUAACUCCGGAGGGUCGGUGGAUACUGCCAGUCUUGAAGGUGCUAGGGGGAGAUGGAAUUACCGGUGUAGCGGUGAAAUGCGUAGAUAUCGGUAGGAACACCAGUGGCGAAGGCGGUCUCCUGGGGCAUUCUUGACGCUGAGGCACGAAGGUCAGGGGAGCAAACGGG
rnacentral:rRNA from 1 species